CCUACGGGAGGCAGCAGUAGGGAAUAUUGCUCAAUGGGGGAAACCCUGAAGCAGCAACGCCGCGUGGAGGAUGAAUGUUCUCGGAUUGUAAACCUCUUUUGUUAGAGAAGAUAAUGACGGUAUCUAACGAAUAAGCACUGUCUAACUCCGUGCCAGCAGCCGCGGUAAUAAGGAGGAUGCAAGCGUUACUCGGAAUCACUGGGCGUAAAGAGCGCGUAGGCGGGUUAGCAAGUCAGAUGUGAAAUCUUAUGGCUUAACCAUAGAACUGCAUUUGAAACUGUUAGUCUAGAGUAAGGGAGAGGUAGGUGGAAUUCGUGGUGUAGGGGUAAAAUCCGUAGAGAUCAAGAGGAAUACUCAUUGCGAAGGCGACCUACUAAAACAUAACUGACACUGAUGCGCGAAAGCGUGGGGAGCAAACAGGAUUAGAUACCCCAGUAGUC
rnacentral:rRNA from 1 species